rfam:Larimichthys crocea isolate SSNF unplaced genomic scaffold scaffold31, whole genome shotgun sequence.
GAGGGUAUAGCUCAAUGGUAGAGCACUUGACUGCAGAUCAAGAGGUCCCCAGCUGAACUCAGGGUGCCCCUU